UUCCGGUUGAUCCUGCCGGACCUGACUGCUAUCGGAUUGAUACUAAGCCAUGCGAGUCAUUGUAGCAAUACAAGGCAGACGGCUCAGUAACGCGUAGUCAACCUAACCUAUGGACGAGAAUAACCUCGGGAAACUGAGAAUAAUGCUCGAUAGAACACUAUACCUGGAAUGGUUUGUGUUCCAAAUGAUUUAUCGCCGUAGGAUGGGACUGCGGCCUAUCAGUUUGUUGGUGAGGUAAUGGCCCACCAAGACUAUUACAGGUACGGGCUCUGAGAGGAGUAGCCCGGAGAUGGGUACUGAGACACGGACCCAGGCCCUAUGGGGCGCAGCAGGCGAGAAAACUUUGCAAUGUGCGAAAGCACGACAAGGUUAAUCCGAGUGAUUUGUGCUAAACGAAUCUUUUGUUAGUCCUAGAAACACUAACGAAUAAGGGGUGGGCAAGUUCUGGUGUCAGCCGCCGCGGUAAAACCAGCACCUCAAGUGGUCAGGAUGAUUAUUGGGCCUAAAGCAUCCGUAGCCGGCUCUGUAAGUUUUCGGUUAAAUCUGUACGCUUAACGUACAGGCUGCCGGGAAUACUGCAGAGCUAGGGAGUGGGAGAGGUAGACGGUACUCGGUAGGAAGGGGUAAAAUCCUUUGAUCUAUUGAUGACCACCUGUGGCGAAGGCGGUCUACCAGAACACGUCCGACGGUGAGGGAUGAAAGCUGGGGGAGCAAACCGGAUUAGAUACCCGGGUAGUCCCAGCUGUAAACUAUGCAAACUCAGUGAUGCAUUGACUUGUGGUCAAUGCAGUGCUGCAGGGAAGCCGUUAAGUUUGCCGCCUGGGAAGUACGUACGCAAGUAUGAAACUUAAAGGAAUUGGCGGGGGAGCACCACAA
rnacentral:rRNA from 1 species